AAGCCUUAAAAGCUAUUAGCGGUUUACCUUGUAAGUAAAAAGAAAUCAGUUAAAAUCUGGUUUAAGGCUUG
rnacentral:tRNA from 1 species